rnacentral:tRNA from 1 species
AUUUACAUAAUAUAAAUAAUUAUAUCUAACUUCCAAUUAGAAAAUCUAACAAUAGUGUAAAUA